rnacentral:rRNA from 1 species
UAUUGAGAUGCGGGAGUUCGGGGCCCAACCUCCCACCCGUGUUGCCCGAACCUAUGUUGCCUCGGCGGGCCCCGCGCCCGCCGACGGCCCCCCUGAACGCUGUCUGAAGUUGCAGUCUGAGACCUAUAACGAAAUUAGUUAAAACUUUCAACAACGGAUCUCUUGGUUCCGGCAUCGAUGAAGAACGCAGCGAAAUGCGAUAACUAAUGUGAAUUGCAGAAUUCAGUGAAUCAUCGAGUCUUUGAACGCACAUUGCGCCCUCUGGUAUUCCGGAGGGCAUGCCUGUCCGAGCGUCAUUGCUGCCCUCAAGCCCGGCUUGUGUGUUGGGCCCCGUCCCCCCCGCCGGGGGGACGGGCCCGAAAGGCAGCGGCGGCACCGCGUCCGGUCCUCGAGCGUAUGGGGCUUCGUCACCCGCUCUAGUAGGCCCGGCCGGCGCCAGCCGACCCCCAACCUUUAAUUAUCUCAGGUUGACCUCGGAUCAGGUAGGGAUACCCGCUGAACUUAAGCAUAUCAAUAGACGGGAAGGAA